UUGACUUUAGACUACAAAUUGCAAGUGUUUGAUUUAAUCUGUGAUCUGUAUAUAGGGAAUUGGAAAGAACUUAGGCCCAGUUUUCAUAGCCUUUAUGUGAAUAGUUUUGUUGAUAUCAGUGGGACUGUUCAUGCAAGAGAAGUUUGUUCAUGUUAUGAUCAAUCCUGAACCUGUUCAUCUCUAAUCAUGAAGCUUUGACUUCAUGAGUGCCAACAGGCAAGUGGGGUAUAGUGCUGCUUACCAGCAGGCACCACUUGUAGUUAAGAUUCCCCCAAAUACUGUCUUGAAAAUUACUUUCAAGAAUUAUGUCUUUGUUGGUCUGUGUUUAUUAGGUAACAUUCUAAAACAAUUCCUAAAAAUGCCCAUCUUCCAUAGAAUUUCUAGGGAUAUUCUUACGCAACUAAUGAUGUUUGGCAUCCAUUAUUUAGGACUCAUAUUGAAGUAGAAAACAGAUGCCACAUGAAAAUAUACAUUGUUUACCAUAGCAUUUACACAAAAGAGCCCAUGUGCUGUUGUGGAUAAUUUUUCGAGAAAUCAUAAAUACCGUAAUAGAUUACCUAACAUUAGGAUAUUUCUCAGAUCAUUGGAAGAGUGUUGAUUCAUUCCAAAAAACAAUAUUUGAUAACUAUGAAAAAAUACAUAUGUAUUUUGUAUUAUUAUUUAUGUUCAGUUGGCUGGUUUUGUUUUUUUAGGGAGGGAUGAGGUUUAGAAGUUAAAAAGUGUACUGGGAACAUAUUUAGUGAUUGAUUAUCUGUGACCUGUUAGUUGCACAUUCUUAUAUAUUAUAGAGAAAUAGAAAUAAUUAGGCAAUAUUAUGGUUAGAGCUCACUUGCUUUAAUUCUAGAAUAUUUUUAGUCUUUUGUAUAGCACCCAUCACUACAAUACAUAAGUAGUGAUUUGUACAAAAAGUACAUAGGAAUAUUAUGAUUCUGAUUUCAGCAUCAAGGGCUGUUGUUAAAAUAAGAAUCAUUUUGUUCCUCUUAGCAAGACUUUACCAUCUUGCAGAUCUAGAGAUCCCAAUAAAAAUUUUAUGCCUACCCUGAUGUCACUUAUCUAUUACUAUUUUUAGAGUUAAUUUACACAUUUAAUACACAAUGUUAAUUUAUGGGAAAUGUUGAGGAAAGUUUUAAAAGCUCUUAAUAGGGAAAUAAAUCCGAUAAUCAGUGUACACUGGGAUUAUUUGGUUAUAGACAUAUUUCCAGUGGAAAGUAAUUCAUCAGACUCCUUUCCAUGACAGCUAUUUAAAGUAAACUGCAAAACUUUACUAACGUUUUAAAAUGUUAUAAGAACCCGAAUAAGUAGCAGAAUAUUUUUUGCAGACUUAAAAGAAAAAGGGUAUUUUAAGGAGCAGAUAAUUUAGGUAAUGUAAAAGUUAUUUUUGUUAAGAUACUUGGUUAAUAUUUCAUACUGAAGAAUCUAUAGAAAGGGUAUGUACUCAGUGGGCUUUUUAAUGCAUGAGUGUUUUUGUCCUUUUCCUUUUUUAUGAAGCUUAGGUUUUAGAGACUAUCUAAAUAAUUUACUAAACUCACUUUCAGUUUAUAGUAUAUCAUCAUAACAAACAUCAACAGAAAGCUUGUAAAUAAAAUAAUAGCACUUUAUUAAAAGAUGCAAAUAAAUUUGUCCUUAAUGGAUUGUCAAGAUUCAAGUUCAGUAUUCUGUGUCCUGAAAACAGGUCCUGUUUUAGAUUGUUUUAUUAUUUUCAGUUGUGGUUCAUUCAGCACCUGAUUCAUGAAAUAGCAAGUUCAGUGCAUGUGGCAAAAGGCUGGUAGUAAGAAGAAUCUGGGUUCCAUUCCUGCCUCUAUCAUCAUUUUGGAAGGUGCUCUUGGGCAAGUUGGUUGCGGUAAUAGGUUGUAAGGAUUCCUCAUAUCCAUCACAGCAAUUCUCAUUUAAUUGAUAUAAAUUACAGACUUAUAGCAGAUACAAAAUUAUAGUUAUUCAUUUCAAAAUUAUAGUAGGAGGAAAUCUAAGGAAAAAUUGCAGCAAUUAUUUUUCUGAUUUAAAUAUUUGCAAAAAAUUACCAAAAGAUGAUUGUUCCUUAAAUGUUUCAAGCCAAGUAAGUUUAUUUUCCCAUUAGCAUUGCUGUAACAUACGACCAAACUCCAAGCUAUAACUUCAUGUUAUAAUCUCUGUUAAGUUAGUUGUCAGUUUCCUUGUUCAGUCUGGUUUAUUUUAUCAGAGUUCUUUUAGUUUGACCUUUGCUUUAUGUUUCACUCUGAUACUUGAGUCAGGGAGAGAGAAAUGGAAAAAACAGGUCCUUUUUAUUAGACUGGAAAAAUCAUUUGUAGUUAAAAACCUAUAUUGUAUACCCAUCUUGCAAAAUUACCAUUGCAAUGUAGAUUUUUCUCCAUGUCUGGAAUUAGAGGUGAAGUCAGUCUUAGAAUUGGUGCUUAGAAGUUGCUUACCCAAAAUAUUGAAUGUUUAAUUAGACUAGUCUGUAUUGAGAUGAGUUUUCUGUACACUUAUUGUAUGUUGAUAUGUUACUUCCCCAAACACCUUUCAGGGUUAAGAAAACUGCAAGCUAAUUUGUAGCUUCACAAUAAACUGCUGAUUUUAAAAGCA